rnacentral:rRNA from 1 species
UAUACAUGCAAGUCGAACGGCAGCACGGGGGCAACCCUGGUGGCGAGUGGCGAACGGGUGAGUAAUACAUCGGAACGUGUCCUGUAGUGGGGGAUAGCCCGGCGAAAGCCGGAUUAAUACCGCAUACGCUCUGCGGAGGAAAGCGGGGGAUCCUUCGGGACCUCGCGCUACAGGGGCGGCCGAUGGCAGAUUAGCUAGUUGGUGGGGUAAAGGCCUACCAAGGCGACGAUCUGUAGCUGGUCUGAGAGGACGACCAGCCACACUGGGACUGAGACACGGCCCAGACUCCUACGGGAGGCAGCAGUGGGGAAUUUUGGACAAUGGGCGCAAGCCUGAUCCAGCAAUGCCGCGUGUGUGAAGAAGGCCUUCGGGUUGUAAAGCACUUUUGUCCGGAAAG